rnacentral:rRNA from 1 species
UACGUAGGGGGCAAGCGUUGUCCGGAAUCAUUGGGCGUAAAGCGCGUGUAGGCGGCCAGAAAAGUCCGCUGUGAAAACUCGAGGCUCAACUUCGAGCUGUCGGUGGAAACUUUCUGGCUAGAGUCCGGAAGAGGAGAAUGGAAUUCCUGGUGUAGCGGUGAAAUGCGCAGAUAUCAGGAAGAACACCCGUGGCGAAGGCGGUUCUCUGGGACGGUACUGACGCUGAGACGCGAAAGCCAGGGGAGCAAACGGG